rnacentral:rRNA from 1 species
AGUGAACGCUGGCGGUAGGCCUAACACAUGCAAGUCGAACGGCAGCACAGUAAGAGCUUGCUCUUACGGGUGGCGAGUGGCGGACGGGUGAGGAAUACAUCGGAAUAUACUUUUUCGCGGGGGAUAACGUAGGGAAACUUACGCUAAUACCGCAUACGACCUACGGGUGAAAGCAGGGGAUCUUCGGACCUUGCGCGAAUGAAUGAGCCGAUGUCGGAUUAGCUAGUUGGCGGGGUAAAGGCCCACCAAGGCGACGAUCCGUAGCUGGUCUGAGAGGAUGAUCAGCCACACUGGAACUGAGACACGGUCCAGACUCCUACGGGAGGCAGCAGUGGGGAAUAUUGGACAAGGGGGGCAAGCCUGAUCCAGCCAUACCGCGUGGGUGAAGAAGGCCUUCGGGUUGUAAAGCCCUUUUGUUGGGAAAGAAAAGCAGCAGGUUAAUACCCCGCUGUUCUGACGGUACCCAAAGAAUAAGCACCGGCUAACUUCGUG